AAUGGAGAUGGAAAAAAUGAAAUUAAAUUAAAUUUGAGAAAAAAUAAAGAAAAGAAAAAAAAAAGAAAGGAGAAUUGCCAAAGGUCAAAUAGGUAGUAUGGGCUGAGCUAGGAUUUGAACAGGUCUAUACUCUUAACCAGUGAAGCACGCUGCCUCACCUUCUUUAAGAUAUCUAUAAAGUAUUUAUUAUCAUUCCUGACUCGUGGUAAGUACUCCAUAAAUGAUAACUGCUUUUGUUGUUGGAUUUAUAAUUAUUAUAGUUACUUUCCCUUUUAUGACUCAUCACUCGUAUUGAACCUUACACUCAGACAGGGAUUGAAGAUCUGAAGGGUGGAAUUGGCAGUCCUGGAAAUUUCGUGGAUUUUAUUUUUCAUGGACUAUCCUCAACUCUGGCAGGAGGCAGUUCCUUCUUGCCCUUAAGAAGUUCAAAGCUUUCCACCUUCCGCCCUUAGCUGGUGGCAAGACUUCAAUAAUUACUUUAGCCUUCGGACUCCAUUGUGCAGGAGAACCUGUUAGAAGCCUUCCUCUGUGGCUUCUGAAGCACCAUCUCCAAAUCAAGAUGCACAAGACUUCCUCUGGCUCUUUUGAUCUUUUGAAAUUGCAAGCACAGGAAGGAAAGAAUGGAUAGGGGGAUAAAGAAUAGCUAUCGUUGUUGCAAUAAUAAUGUUGCGUUUUUACAGAGCCCUUUCUCUCAUGAGCCCCGAGCUUUCACAGCCGUCACACCAUUGGCCUCUGCAUUGUGAACCUAGAAGUCAUCGUGAGUGUUCGCAGAGCUGUAAAACAAUUGCACCGACACAUACAGCACCAAGAGAAGCAAGCCAUGGUGGCAAUUGCACAUCGCCGUGGGUGUGGUAGUCAUGCAUGGGUGCAUGCCGCUCACAGCUCUGUGAUGUUCAAGCAGAGGUUGAGUGUAAUUCGGUGCUAGUUGUCUGGUCCUGCAAUUGGAAGUCACAGAACUGGUCUGCAAGCAUGAAGUCAAGAAGCGUGGCAAGGCCCUUGAAGAUCUCUGGAGCUGAGGAAACAGUUGUGGAGUGGACGGGAAUGUUAUCUACUUCUAAGUGGCCUGGUUGUUUCGUCUGAUUCCUCAAGAAAUACUGGUUUGCUUGACUGCCUUAGGCUCUUUCUAGAGGCUACUUGUACAUCAGCAAAAUUCUUAUUAUAUGGCAUGAGCACCAGAAACAUCACGUGUUCCCGGGAGGCACACCCCGCCCCCAACAUACACACCUUUCCCCUUAAAAGGAAAAAGUCUUCUGUUUUAAAGUUACAAGUAACUUCUGUGCAAGAUAAUGACUCUGGGAAACAAUUCCUUUCCUCAUGUGGGAAGAUAUUUUCAGAAAGGGUAGUUCCUCAGUAAGGAAAAUGACUCCAUUAAAAACAUUUAUUUGCCAUUUACCCACCUGCCAUUUUCUCAAUUCUACAAAGCCAUAAAAGUGAAUUGUUGUAACUCUCUUAUAAUCCUCAAGUGAAUCCCCUCCAGGGCACCUCCUCUCCCUCGCACCCUCCAAUAAAAAAAAACCAAACCUGCGAGGCUAGUGCUAGGAAUCCUAGCAGAUCAGGGAUUGUAUUGGGUGAAGCUGUGCGAUAACACAUAGGAGGGGAAAAUGACUCUGUAUGCUUCACUCAUGAUUGUGAUGCUGGAGGCUUGCCCCUACUGCCCACAUUGCCGGGAGGACAGCCAAUAGUAGACUUUUAUUAAGAAAUUAAUCAACUCUGUCAUGGCUUUAGUUGACUCUUUCAGUCUCAUUUCAGUCUGAAGUGCCCUGCUCACCUGUGAUCCUGUGGGCUGGGGGUUUGCUAUGAGUAAGAGGACAUAGGCUCAAUUUGAGACAGUUCAGAAACAUUUUAUAAAUCCUUUAAAAUAUAUAAGUGACAGUACAUGAUUCUUUCUCGGUAGUAAUCAUUUCAAUCGCUGUGCUAUGUGCUUAGCCAGAUGGUGUUCUCCCUGUGUCUCUUAUAUUUAUACUAACAGAUAUGCAUAUUUUACUCUUGAUAAAAUAAUUUUCAUAUUGCCACCACUUUGUAUAAGAUUUGUCUUGACUGCCUCUGGGGGAGGGGCAGAGAGGGAAGGAAAGGCAUCACGUUUACCUAAUAUUUGGGAAAUUGAGCUGCUGAAAGAAACAAACCACGCCAUCUGCAAUGAAGCGUAGUACUGGACCCUGGCGUCCCUGGUGAGGCUAAGCCCCUAUGUAGCACCCCAGGCUCCUGUGACAUGGUAAUGAAGAGGCCGAAGCACAAAGGGGCUGACUCAAAUUUUAAUGCUAACUAUUCUCAUUAUUAAUGAGUAAUUACAGCAAAUAUUUACAGACCUCCUUCC